rnacentral:tRNA from 1 species
GGGCCCGUAGCUCAAUGGUCAGAGCUGACCGCUCAUAACGGUCUGGUUGCAGGUUCGAGUCCUGCCGGGCCCACCA